GACGAACGCUGGCGGCGUGCUUAACACAUGCAAGUCGAACGGAACCGUCGGGCCUUGGGGCGGAGCGCGGGGUGCGGAGGGGGGAGCUACCCGUAGGUUAGGUAUAACUGCCUGAGGGGGGAGCUCAUAACGGUGGAUGUCAUAGGGCCAAAGAGUUCUCGCCGUUGGGUGGGGCCGGGUUGGAUUCGCGGGUUGGUAGUGUAAAAGCCGACCAUGGCGACGAUCCAUAGCUGGUCUGAGAGGAUGAUCCGCAACACUGGGACUGAGACACGGCCCAGACUCCUACGGAAGGCAGCAGUGGGGAAUAUUGGACAAGGGGCGAAAGUCUGGUACAGCAAUGCCGCGUGAGUGAUGAAGGCGUUAGGGUUGUAAAGCUCUUUUACACGGGAUGAUAAUGACAGUACCGGGUGAAUAAGCACCGGCUAACUCCGUG
rnacentral:rRNA from 1 species